rnacentral:rRNA from 1 species
GAUGAACGCUGGCGGCGUGCUUAACACAUGCAAGUCGAACGGAAAGGCCCAAGCUUGCUUGGGUACUCGAGUGGCGAACGGGUGAGUAACACGUGGGUGAUCUGCCCUGCACUUCGGGAUAAGCCUGGGAAACUGGGUCUAAUACCGGAUAGGACCACUUCUUGGAUGUUGUGGUGGAAAGUUUUUUCGGUGUGGGAUGAGCUCGCGGCCUAUCAGCUUGUUGGUGGGGUAAUGGCCUACCAAGGCGUCGACGGGUAGCCGGCCUGGGAGGGUGUACGGCCACAUUGGGACUGAGAUACGGCCCAGACUGCUACGGGAGGCAGCAGUGGGGAAUAUUGCACAAUGGGCGCAAGCCUGAUGCAGCGACGCCGCGUGGGGGAUGACGGCCUUCGGGUUGUAAACGCCUUUCGCUAGGGACGAAGCGUUUUGUGACGGUACCUGGAGAAGAAGCACCGGCUAACUACGUG